rnacentral:rRNA from 1 species
CUUUAUCAAUCCCUAACACCUGUGCAUUUGGACGCUUCGGCGUCUUUAUACAAACUUAUCAGUAACGAAUGUAAAGUAUUAUAACAAAUACAACUUUCAACAACGGAUCUCUUGGCUCUCGCAUCGAUGAAGAACGCAGCGAAAUGCGAUAAGUAAUGUGAAUUGCAGAACACAGUGAAUCAUCGAAUCUUUGAACGCACAUUGCGCCUUUUGGUAUUCCGAAAGGCAUGCCUGUUUGAGUGUCAUAUAGACUCUCACAUAUAGUUUUCUAUAUGUGAGCUUUGGACGCUGCCAGCGAUGGCUCGUCUUAAAUGACUAAGUGGAAUGCGUAAUAAGUUUUCGCUCUCCCCACUCUAAACUACUUUUGUUUAGACCUCAAAUCAGGUAGGACUACCCGCUGAACUUAAGCAUAUCAA